rnacentral:rRNA from 1 species
UUAAAUGGCUGCAGUAAUUUGACUGUACAAAGGUAGCAUAAUCAUUAGUUUUUUAAUUAAAAGCUUGUAUGAAAGGUUGGACGAAGUAGAAUCUGUCUCUUUUUAAUAUUAUUAGAAUUUAAUUUUUAAGUUAAAAAGCUUAAAUUUGUAUAAAAGACGAGAAGACCCUAUAGAGUUUUAUAAUUUUUAUUUUAUAAUUAAUUUAGAUUUAUUUAUUUUAUUUUAUAUAAAUUAUUUUAUUGGGGUAAUAUAAAGAUUAAAAAAAUUCUUUUUUUUAUUAGCCAUUAAUUUAUGAAAUUUUUAUGAUCCAUUGAUUUUGAUUAUAAGAUUAAAUUACCUUAGGGAUAACAGCGUAAUUUUUUUAGAGAGUUCUUAUCGAUAAAAAAGUUUGCGACCUCGAUGUUGGAUUAAAGAUUAAUUUAGGUGUAGAAGUUUAAAUUUUUGGUCUGUUCGACCAUUGAAUCUUUACAUGAUCUGAGUUCAAACCGGUGUAAGCCAGGUUGGUUUCUAUCUUUAUAAAGGGUUUAUAUUUUAGUACGAAAGGACCAAAUAUAUGAUAUAUUAAUAUCUAAUUAUUGAAUAUUAUUAAAUAUAAAUAUUAUUUUGGCAGAUUAGUGUGAUGAAUUUAGAAUUCAUAAAAGUAAAUAUUUUUACAAGUAAUACUUGUUUAUAUUAGAAGUAUUAAUUUCUUUAGUUUUUAUUAUUUUAUUAGUAAUUUGUGUUUUAGUGGGAGUAG